UCAAGCUACAAAGAGCUCAGGGUGGAUACCUAGGCACGCAGAGGCGAAGAAGGACGUGGUUACCGACGAAACACUCCGGGGAGCGGGAAGCAAGCAUCGAGCCGGAGAUCUCCGAAUGGGGCAACCCUAAAUACAGCUGGUUGAAUCCAUAGACCAGUAUGAGCCAACCGGGCGAACUGAAACAUCUUAGUAGCCCGAGGAAAAGAAAGAAAAUCGAUUCCCCUAGUAGCGGCGAGCGAAACGGGAAGAGCCUAAACCACCAGAAAAUCUGGAUGGGGUAGUGGGACAGCAAUAGGGAAUCCGGAAGCUAGACGAAGCAGCUGAAAACUGCACCAGAGAGAGUGAAAGUCUCGUAGUUAAAAGCCCAAAGAUACUAGCUGUAUCCCGAGUAGCACGGGGCACGUGAAAUCCCGUGUGAAUCAGCGAGGACCAUCUCGUAAGGCUAAAUACUCCUGCGUGACCGAUAGUGAACCAGUACCGCGAGGGAAAGGUGAAAAGAACCCCGGAAGGGGAGUGAAACAGAACAUGAAACCCUGAGCUUACAAGCAGUGGGAGGACGAUUCAACGUCUGACCGCGUGCCUGUUGAAGAAUGAGCCGGCGACUUACAGGUAGUGGCAGAUUAAGGUGGAAAAGCCGAAGUCAAAGCGAAAGCGAGUCUGAAGAGGGCGGAUAAGUCACUAUUUGUAGACCCGAACCCGGGUGAUCUAACCAUGUCCAGGAUGAAGCUUGGGUAAAGCCAAGUGGAGGUCCGCACCGACCGAUGUUGAAAAAUCGGCGGAUGAGGUGUGGUUAGGGGUGAAAUGCCAAUCGAACCCGGAGCUAGCUGGUUCUCCCCGAAAUGUGUUGAGGCGCAGCGGUGGUGAAUAUAGUUGGGGGGUAAAGCACUGUUUCGGUGCGGGCUGCUAGCGCGGUACCAAAUCGAGACAAACUCUGAAUACCCAGCGAACACACCACCAGUGAGACGGUGGGGGAUAAGCUUCAUCGUCAAGAGGGAAACAGCCCAGACCACCAGCUAAGGCCCCCAAAUGGUCGCUCAGUGAUAAAGGAGGUGGGAGUGCAGUGACAACCAGGAGGUUUGCCUAGAAGCAGCCAUCCUUGAAAGAGUGCGUAAUAGCUCACUGGUCAAGCGCUCCUGCGCCGAAAAUGAACGGGGCUAAGCGACAUGCCGAAGCUGUGGGAUAUUUGUGAUAUCGGUAGGGGAGCGUUCCGGCGUAGGGAGAAGCACUAGCGGCAAGCAGGUGUGGACGAACCGGAAGUGAGAAUGUCGGCUUGAGUAGCGCAAACAUUGGUGAGAAUCCAAUGCCCCGAAACCCCAAGGGUUCCUCCGGAAGGCUCGUCCGCGGAGGGUUAGUCAGGGCCUAAGGCGAGGCUGAAAAGCGUAGUCGAUGGACAACGGGUUAACAAUCCCGUACCAGUUAUUGUUAGCAACAGGGGGACGAAGCAGGGCGUUAUCAGCCGGGGAUUGGUAGUCCCGGUUGAAGGAACCAAGGCGAAGAGCUCUGGAGAAAACAGAGUGAGCCAAGGCCCGAGUACGAGAGUCUACGGACUCGAAGUGAUAACGGUCAAACUUCCAAGAAAAGCCCUAACUGCGAUAAGCAAUGACUGCCUGUACCCGAAACCGACACAGGUGGGGAGGUUGAGAAUACCAAGGGGCGCGAGAUAACUCUCUCUAAGGAACUCGGCAAAAUGGCCCCGUAACUUCGGGAGAAGGGGUGCCCUCAGCAAUGGGGGUUGCAGUGAAGAGAUCCAGGCGACUGUUUACCAAAAACACAGGUCUCCGCGAACUCGUAAGAGGAUGUAUGGGGGCUGACGCCUGCCCAGUGCCGGAAGGUUAAGGAAGUUGGUCAGGGGGUAACCCUAAAGCUGACGACCGAAGCCCCGGUGAACGGCGGCCGUAACUAUAACGGUCCUAAGGUAGCGAAAUUCCUUGUCGGGUAAGUUCCGACCCGCACGAAAGGCGUAACGAUCUGGAUGCUGUCUCGGAGAGAGGCUCGGCGAAAUAGGAUUGUCUGUGAAGAUACGGACUACCUGCACCUGGACAGAAAGACCCUAUGAAGCUUUACUGUAGCCUGGAAUUGGGUUCGGGCUUCGCUUGCGCAGGAUAGGUGGGAGGCGUUUGAAGGUGUCCUUGUGGGGAUACUGGAGCCACCGGUGAGAUACCACUCUGGCGAGGCUAGAAUUCUAACCAUUACCCGCAUAUCCGGGUAGGGAACCGUUUCAGGUGGGCAGUUUGACUGGGGCGGUCGCCUCCUAAAAGGUAACGGAGGCGCGCAAAGGUUCCCUCAGGCUGGUUGGAAAUCAGCCCUAGUGAGUGUAAAGGCAUAAGGGAGCUUGACUGCGAGACCUACAAGUCGAGCAGGGUGGAAACACGGCCUUAGUGAUCCGACGGUGCUGCAUGGAAAGGCCGUCGCUCAACGGAUAAAAGUUACUCUAGGGAUAACAGGCUGAUCUCCCCCAAGAGUCCACAUCGACGGGGAGGUUUGGCACCUCGAUGUCGGCUCAUCGCAACCUGGGGCGGAAGUACGUCCCAAGGGUUGGGCUGUUCGCCCAUUAAAGCGGUACGUGAGCUGGGUUCAGAACGUCGUGAGACAGUUCGGUCCAUAUCCGGUGCAGGCGCAAGAGCAUUGCGAGGAGCCUUCCUUAGUACGAGAGGACCGGGAAGGACGCACCUCUGGUAUACCGGUUAUCGUGCCAACGGUAGACGCCGGGUAGCCAUGUGCGGAGCGGAUAACCGCUGAAAGCAUCUAAGUGGGAAGCCCACCUCCAGAUGAGUGCUCUCAUGGAGUUAAUCCAGUAAGGUCACAGGAAGAUUACCUGUUAAUAGGCGCUCGGUAUAAGUGCAGUAAUGUAUGUAGCCCAGGCGUACUAACCGACCGAGGGCUUGACC
rnacentral:rRNA from 1 species